GCCGGGAUAGCUCAGUUGGUAGAGCACAAGACUUCCAGUCUCAGGGUCAAGGGUUCAAGCCCCACGUUGGGCA